rnacentral:rRNA from 1 species
UACGAAGGGGGCUAGCGUUGCUCGGAAUUACUGGGCGUAAAGGGCGCGUAGGCGGACAGUUUAGUCAGAGGUGAAAGCCCAGGGCUCAACCUUGGAAUUGCCUUUGAUACUGGCUGUCUUGAGUUCGGGAGAGGUGAGUGGAAUGCCGAGUGUAGAGGUGAAACUCGUAGAUAUUCGGCGGAACACCAGUGGCGAAGGCGACUCACUGGCCCGAUACUGACGCUGAGGCGCGAAAGCGUGGGGAGCAAACGGG